UACAGAGGCCUCGAGCGUUAGGCGGAAUCACUGGGCUUAAAGCGUGUGUAGGCGGAUCGUUAAGUACCUUGUGAAAUCCCACGGCUCAACCGUGGAACUGCUUGGUAUACGUGGCGGUCUUGUGCAACCUAGGGGCGAGCGGAACAGAUGGUGGAGCGGUGAAAUGCGUAGAUAAUCAUCUGGAACGCCAAGUGGUGAAAACAGC
rnacentral:rRNA from 1 species